rnacentral:rRNA from 1 species
UACGUAGGGGGCAAGCGUUGUCCGGAUUUAUUGGGCGUAAAGAGCUCGUAGGCGGUUCCGUAAGUCGAGUGUGAAAAAUCUGGGCUCAACCCAGUGGAGCACUCGAUACUGCGGUGACUGGAGUACGGUAGAGGAGUGUGGAAUUUGUGGUGUAGCGGUGAAAUGCGCAGAUAUCAGGAAGAACACCCGUGGCUAAGGCGGCUCUCUAGUACGGUACUGACGCUGAUGCACGAAAGCUAGGGGAGCAAACAGG